UUCAAAGUCACAGCUCUGCACCUUCUAACUUCAGACAUGUUGAUAGGACAUGGGCCUUAAGUGGUAAUGAUGUGCAGAACAACAUGAUCACGGGUGACAGAGUUUGAUUGGAUGUCAAAUUUAAGUCUCUCCACUGCAUGUACAUAUGGCGUUAGGACACGCUGUCAGAUAUGCGAAAGAGAUUCAUUAAUUUUAGAGACAAGAUCAGGAUUAGCAAAGUAACUCCACAAUGAGGUCACGGUGCUGGUGCCCACUGUCGCUGCGUGAGGCAAGCUUACUGUGUGUGUGUGUGAGAGAGAGAGAGAGAGAGAGAAAGAGAGAGAGAAACAUUACAUCGUGCCAGCCAACAAGGCUGAUUAGAUGUCCACUGUAUCUGCCCAUUAUUUAGAGGUUAUGUUUGAGGCUGCGAGUUAUGACUAUUGUGGGACAAGCUGACAAGGACUGCUGCUGAUUGCAGGUUUGAUGUCUGCGAUGGAAGCCAGGCGGCUGCAGCCUUCUUGCGGGAGCACGCCAAGCCUGCCAUGCCUAAGUGAGGAGUGGGUCCAAGUGAUGAGGAGGACCGCUUCUGAGAAUCUUUUGAGGAGAGUGUAAACGACAUUCAUUACUUUAUCUGUGAAGAUCAUGGUUCUGUCGAGAGAGUAAAGGUUGUGAAUUUGCACAUGUCCAGGUGCAUAACGGAUAAUUUCAACUCAUUGCUAUUGCGGCUGGUGCAGCUUGUUACAGCAAGCAUGUACGGACUCAUUUGGUAAUACGUAAUGUUGCAAAUUGAUUGCAAUUGCGCUUUGCAGGUUGCACCUGCAAUCAGUUGCUCAGUGCUCGCCCAGCACAGUAUGUAACGCUGAGCUGGCAUUCAUCUUCAAUAUAUAUGGCCCCAUCCUGGAAGCGAUUCACUUCCAGGAUGGGGCCACUGUCCUCUGCCCUGCUGUGAGUCUUACAUAGAUUUGCCGGAGUUCAAUCGGAUAAAUGAUCACCAUGCUUCAAAGAAGUUGCUCACCGUGCUCACUGGAGAGGACCGAUAUGGUCGCGUGGUUGCCAAAGAGGAAGCUCAAGAACCUGCACCCAGCAUAAGAAAUUGAUCUAAAAGACCUUGCUUUGCUACAACGUAAUAAGCAUCACUUGCAACGCUACUAUGGGAAAGCGCUUGAGCCAAGUGAAAGCAACAAUCCGUCGUCGCCAAAUAUUAACACCGAGUGGCCCAUGCCCGAUCUCAAUUUCCUUUCAUACUGUAAUUUAAAAUUUCUGGCACGUCAAUAUGUGAAGGUAACUCACUUCGCACUUCACGUAUGUCUAUAAUUAAAUGACACUGGGAGCUAUGAGCAGCACCUCUCUAGGGCUUCCCGAAGCGUUGAAACCUAUGUGACUACGAGGCCAAAAGGAGUUCAAUAUGAGGCAAUAUCAAUUAUACUGUGAUGUACUAUAGUGAGAAAAGCCUGAAUCGCUGACAUUGUGGCCCGAAGCAGAGCCAACCACAACCCCGGUACUGGAGGUAGAUGAACCAGAUAAUCUAUAGCGCAGUCUGCGCCUGAGGCAUUUAUAAGCUAAACGAUCUACAGCAUCAGAACUCGAUCCGGGAGCCGUUUGACUGCAAGUGGAAAGCAUACGUGAAGAAAUAAGUGUGUCGCGAUUGUGAGGCCG
rnacentral:lncRNA from 1 species